GGUUAAGCGACUAAGCGUACACGGUGGAUGCCCUGGCAGUCAGAGGCGAUGAAGGACGUGCUAAUCUGCGAUAAGCGUCGGUAAGGUGAUAUGAACCGUUAUAACCGGCGAUUUCCGAAUGGGGAAACCCAGUGUGUUUCGACACACUAUCAUUAACUGAAUCCAUAGGUUAAUGAGGCGAACCGGGGGAACUGAAACAUCUAAGUACCCCGAGGAAAAGAAAUCAACCGAGAUUCCCCCAGUAGCGGCGAGCGAACGGGGAGCAGCCCAGAGCCUGAAUCAGUGUGUGUGUUAGUGGAAGCGUCUGGAAAGGCGCGCGAUACAGGGUGACAGCCCCGUACACAAAAAUGCACAUGCUGUGAGCUCGAUGAGUAGGGCGGGACACGUGGUAUCCUGUCUGAAUAUGGGGGGACCAUCCUCCAAGGCUAAAUACUCCUGACUGACCGAUAGUGAACCAGUACCGUGAGGGAAAGGCGAAAAGAACCCCGGCGAGGGGAGUGAAAAAGAACCUGAAACCGUGUACGUACAAGCAGUGGGAGCACGCUUAGGCGUGUGACUGCGUACCUUUUGUAUAAUGGGUCAGCGACUUAUAUUCUGUAGCAAGGUUAACCGAAUAGGGGAGCCGAAGGGAAACCGAGUCUUAACUGGGCGUUAAGUUGCAGGGUAUAGACCCGAAACCCGGUGAUCUAGCCAUGGGCAGGUUGAAGGUUGGGUAACACUAACUGGAGGACCGAACCGACUAAUGUUGAAAAAUUAGCGGAUGACUUGUGGCU
rnacentral:rRNA from 1 species